CCUACGGGGCGCAGCAGUGGGGAAUAUUGCACAAUGGGCGCAAGCCUGAUGCAGCCAUGCCGCGUGUGUGAAGAAGGCCUUCGGGUUGUAAAGCACUUUCAGCGGGGAGGAAGGCGGUGAGGUUAAUAACCUCAUCGAUUGACGUUACCCGCAGAAGAAGCACCGGCUAACUCCGUGCCAGCAGCCGCGGUAAUACGGAGGGUGCAAGCGUUAAUCGGAAUUACUGGGCGUAAAGCGCACGCAGGCGGUCUGUCAAGUCGGAUGUGAAAUCCCCGGGCUCAACCUGGGAACUGCAUUCGAAACUGGCAGGCUAGAGUCUUGUAGAGGGGGGUAGAAUUCCAGGGGUAGCGGUGAAAUGCGUAGAGAUCUGGAGGAGUACCGGUGGCGAAGGCGGCCCCCUGGACAAAGACUGACGCUCAGGUGCGAAAGCGUGGGGAGCGAACAGGAUUAGAUACCCCGGUAGUC
rnacentral:rRNA from 1 species